CGUGUGCCUAUGAUGGUGUUAAAUAUACUUCGAGAUUAAUUUCUAUGAAACAAUUUUACUCUGAGGCACCGAUCUUAUUUUCAAAUUACAUUUACUUUUUCGAUCUGAACAUAAUUAUUUUUCAAAGAUAACGAUAUUAAUUUUGUUUCAUUGUUAAAUUAGUUUUGUUAAUUGGAACGAUUAUAUUUCUGUUGUUACUCUUGAAAUUUCUGUUUAAUUUAUCAUUUUUCUGGGUUUUUACAUGAUUUUAUAUUGUGCAAAUGAUGACAAACUAGACAGGGACAUCAGAUCUCUUGAUUAGAGAAAAUGCUGAUUUGUCUGUGGGAAUCUCUCUGAUGCAUA
rnacentral:lncRNA from 1 species